UACGUAGGGGGCUAGCGUUGUCCGGAAUCAUUGGGCGUAAAGAGCGUGUAGGCGGUCCGGUAAGUCCGCUGUGAAAGUCGGGGGCUCAACCCUCGAAUGCCGGUGGAUACUGUCGGGCUAGAGUGCGGAAGAGGCGAGUGGAAUUCCUGGUGUAGCGGUGAAAGUGCGCAGAUAUCAGGAGGAACACCUAUUGCGAAGGCAGCUCGCUGGGACGUAACUGACGCUGAGACGCGAAAGCGUGGGGAGCAAACAGG
rnacentral:rRNA from 1 species